rnacentral:miRNA from 8 species
CUGGGAUCUCUGGGGUCUCGGUU